AGAGUUUGAUCCUGGCUCAGAUUGAACGCUGGCGGCAUGCUUUACACAUGCAAGUCGAACGGUAACAGGGGAGCUUGCCCCCGCUGACGAGUGGCGAACGGGUGAGUAAUGCAUCGGAACGUGCCGAAUAGUGGGGGAUAACGCACCGAAAGGUGUGCUAAUACCGCAUACGCCCUGAGGGGGAAAGUGGGGGACCGCAAGGCCUCACGCUAAUCGAGCGGCCGAUGUCGGAUUAGCUAGUUGGUGGGGUAAAGGCUCACCAAGGCGACGAUCCGUAGCGGGUCUGAGAGGAUGAUCCGCCACACUGGGACUGAGACACGGCCCAGACUCCUACGGGAGGCAGCAGUGGGGAAUUUUGGACAAUGGGGGAAACCCUGAUCCAGCCAUGCCGCGUGUCUGAAGAAGGCCUUCGGGUUGUAAAGGACUUUUGUCCGGGAGGAAACCCUGAUCGUUAAUAGCGGUCGGGACUGACAGUACCGGAAGAAUAAGCACCGGCUAACUACGUGCCAGCAGCCGCGGUAAU
rnacentral:rRNA from 1 species